UUUUUUUCCUAAUCUCUAUAAAACCUGGUCGGGACCUCACCGAAUGAAAAACAAGCUGUAUGGGUAUGAAACCCGGAAUAUCAUCAUCACUUGCCUCGAGGGCCGGACAAGAUGGUUUCUCUGAGUGGCAGUUCAGACUGAGAAUGGAACACGAUCAGACAACUGCUGGAUACAUGCCGAUCAUGGAGAACGGAUGAGUGGAUUCCAUGCGAUGCUUGUCGAAUGAGCACUGACUCGGUUAUAUAUCUCAAAGAAAGAUGCUCUAUACGACGACCAUGUUAUUACUUGUAUGAUCAUCGGAUCGAUGGAGCAAUUUGAUGAUCAUCGAAUUCGGGUGAGUGGAUUCCAUGCUAUGCUUGUCAAGUGAGCAGUCUUUUUGCUGAUUAUCCUUUGUCUCAUUGUCUGUUCGACCUUGAAACGAUGGUAGAGAGUAAAAACCAUCAAAACCCUAAUCAUGGCGGCUUUACAUGAUACGAUCUAAGUAAACUAUGAGGUUUUUGGGGCAUCGAUUCAAUAACUUUAUGUGCGGCUGCAUAUUUCAUGUGUAAUCAGGUAGGUUUCACCUAUAUAUGUGUUAUUAGGUAGAUCGAUGUAAAAUCAAAGGGAUGGGUUUUUUUUUUUUUUUUUUGUCUUUUCAUUUGUGGAUACCGCAUGCUUUGGCCAUAUGGUAACGCGGUUCACUUGAAAUCUUGCUACAUAGUCCAGUGGAUAUAAAUAACACACACACACACACACACAUAUGGGAGUAGGACUUCUGGCUCUAGAUUUCAAUCAUGUUCAAACAGUUUUGAUUAUGAUCAAAUCUACAUCAUGCGUGUGUCCUCCAGCGUUCAUUGCUAACUUGGAUAAGCUGGGGGAUCUUCGAUAAAAUAUAUAUAACAUGAAGAUCAUAGGUGUGUGCGUGUGUGUGUAUAUAUAUAUAUAUAAAGAUAUACUACAAAUUAACCGAUAUAUGUACUAUAUGGAUAGAAAAAUGGAAGAUGGUGCGUACAUAUACAUAUAUAUAUAUAUAUAUAUAUAGUACCAGUACUAUAGCAUUUUGCAUAUUUAAAAACUCGCCCUCAAAUUUUGUAGCAGCUUUACCGGCCUUUUGUUUCUAUAUAUACACUUUUUAGAUGCAUGUCAUGUUCAUAUAUAUCGCCCUUGCCGCUUAUAAUGGACUUGAACUGAUCGAAGUCUUUACAGAAACCCGUAUCUUUUGAGAUCUGAAUUCAUUAGGCCGUUAAUUUCCCUGAUCAGUUUGCCUAGCUAGCUAGCACCAAAUGCCAAGAUGUAAUAAUGCUAUGCACGACGGUAUUAGCAACAAAAACUAUGGCAUGCAAUAGUACGAGACAAGUUGAGGUAUAUUUAUGCAUGGUAGCUUGGUUAAUUGAACCCCAAAUAAACAUGAUCAUUUAAUUUCCAUUUAGACGGUUUAAGCUGCUUAAUAUAUAUAUAUAUAUAUAUAUAUUUAUAUAUAUGAUCAUUUAAUUUCCACUUAGAAGGUCGAAGCUGCUUAAUUCCAUUUAGAAGGUCUAAGCUGCUUAAUAUAUAUAUAUAUAGGGAGAGACAAUGAACUGUCCGCCCUUUAACUAACAAUAUAAUCAAGUUCCCAGACUUCCUUUAGGAUCAUAUGGAACUUUCGCUAAAGCCUAAAUGGACACAUGAGCAGCACCCAUGCAGUUCAUGACAUCCUAUCGUGUGCAUGCUUGAAUAUAUCAUGGUAGUUGUCGUGGGACGAUUAUUUCGAUCGGAAGAAACAAAGAAAUCCUUCAGAAAAUGAACUUUAAUUAGCACAUAAUAAUACUAGCGUUCGUACAUGAAUAACAAUAUGCACUAAACCUUCUACAUUAAUUAAACUAGAAAAUAAAAGUACAAAAACUCUAAACUUUAGAUGAGAUACAGUACUUUUGUCUACAACUUCGAGGUCGAGAAGACAAUGAAUCUGAGGAAUUCGCAAGGACUGCUCAUUUGACAAGGCUUCGCAUUGAAUUUGACACCCUAUAUACCCUUGGAAUUUACCGGAUCUGUCAGCCAAACAUGUUUCCAGAUCAUGAUGUGAUUUCUCAAAGCCAAACAUUCCCCCACAAAGUUUAUGUACGUCCGUGACAAUUCGAUCUUGAAGGUAUGCUCUCUCUCUCUCUCUCUCUCUCUCUCUCUCUCUCUCUUCAUUUAUAUAUAUAUAGAAAAAGAAUUAAAAAAAAAAGAGACAUGAUCUAAUUUUUGUAAAUAUGUUUAAUUUUUGUCUGUGUAUAUAACAUAUAGAAAAUUAAGUCUGCAAAAACUCACCUAGCUAGCUCAUGUGUAUAUAUGUAGUCAUUUGAGACGCCAAAGCUGUCUAACCAUUUUUGGUGUUCCCUGCAGCAUGCAUGGCAUAAUUUCGCUUUAGACGUCAAGAAGCUUAUACCCCUUCAACAAAUUUACUUUUUAGGAAAGAAAACUUUCGUCCCAAAAAGUUUUUAUUUUGUCUCAAAGUGUUCUAGGACGGAAGUUCAUCUCAGAAAAGGCCUGCUUCAAAAGAUUUUUUAAGAUGAAAUUUCUCAUUUCUUUCGAAAGUGUUUGAACGGAUUCUUUUUUAAUCGAAACGGAAUCUUUUUUAAUCGAAAAAAAUUUCAUCCCUAAUUGAUCGUUGGAACGCAGAAAAUAUCGUACGUUUGAAUGGAUUUUAUUUGGGAUGAAAUAACAUUCUGUCCUUACUAAUCAUAACAGAAGGCCAGUUUUUGCAAGGAUCACGAUUUAUAUAAUAUGAGUUUUACUACGUAUAAGUAAAAUCUUCAUCAAUAAUGGAUCCACCACCUUUUAUAGUCUUUACCAAUAAAAAUAUAUGAUCUAUAAUAUACAUAAAUAUAUAUAUAUAUAUAUAUAUAUAUAUAUGAGUAGUACGUACAAGAUCUGCACUGGGGGAACGAUGUUUAGCCUAGAAGCCUCCAAAAAAAUAAUUAAUAAUUAUUACUCAGAUUAAAAUAAAAUUUGGUACAAAGUAAUAUUAAUCCUAAAAAAAUUGAAAACUUCUUGAAAUCAUUCAAACAUAUGAAAACCUUCUUCUAAUUACCCCAUCUAAAAGUCUUGAGUCUUCUUAAAUUUAAGAAUGAAGGGAAAAAAAAAAAACAGUUUCUACAUUUUCAUUAAGUUCAUAAACUUUGCCUCCAAAA